GGGAGGAGGCGGGGAGGAGGCGGGGAGGAGGCGAGGAGGAGGCGGGGAGAGCAGCGGGGAGAGCAGCGGGGAGGAGGCGGGGAGGAGCAGCGGGGAGGAGGUGGGGAGAGCAGGGGGAGGAGGCGGGGAGGAGGUGGGGAGAGCAGCAGAGAGCGGCGGGGAGGAGGCGGGGAGAGCAGCGGGGAGGAGGCGGCGGCCCGGGAGCCUCGGCCGUCCUUCCCAGGGGAGCCGCGGAGGCGAGGAGUUGUCCCCACACUGCUGUGACAGCCUGCGCCGAGCUCCGCCCACGGGGCUGCUCGGGCGCCCAGACCAUCUCGGAGUCCCCUGGGGUGGCGGGCUCGAGAGACGGCGGCCCGCGGGCGGCUGAAGACGGGCCCCAGGGUGUCCGGGUCCUCAUCCGUGGAAGCGGCAGCGGCGAGAAGAAUCGGAUGUGGCAUGCAGGGGACCAUGAGCCGGCUUCUCGGAUGAAGGGCCGACCAGCCGAGCGGAAGCCCUGGGGCAAGGAACUUGGCAGGCAGCGACCCGGAUGGACCCGGCAGCUUGGAAAACUGAGAAAUGGGAAAGGAGCAGCCAAAGGUGGCGGCAGAUCGGCUUGAAAGAAAGACCAACAGGGGAGCAGACAUGUCUCAAGCAGUUGAGCUCCCGCCUCCUACACGGGAGUGCCUCCCGAAAAAAAACAAAAAUAAACAAGGAGCAAAAACAAAAUGAAAAAACCAAGUCAGAGAAGCCGAUGUGGCUCAGUGGUCGAGCGCCAGGUUCCCACAUACAAGGUCCUGGGUUCAAUCCCUGUCCCCCGUACCUCAAAAGUAAAUAAAUAAAAAAAUUUUAAAUCUAAAAUUUAAAAAGACCAAUGGGAAGCAGAUGUAGCUCAAGAGGUUGACUCCUGCUUCCCAUGUGCAAGGUCCUGAGUUUGAUCCCCAGUAGCUCCUAAAAACAAACAAACAAAGCAAAACAGGUGGAAAAACCAGCUCUCACUGGGGAGCAGAUGCAGCUCAGCAGUUGAGCACCUGCUUCCCACGAAUGAGGUCCUGGGUUCAAUUCCCAGUACCUCCUAAAAAAGACCAAUCUGUUGGACUAAAACAGAUCCGUGCACACCAGGUUUCACAGAAGUACUAUUUACAACAGCCAAAAGGUGGAAACAACUCAAGGGUCCAUCAACUGACAAAUGGAUCAACAUAUGAUGGGAUAUUACUCUGCUGGGAGAAGUGACAAACUCCUGAGACACACAACAACGAGGAUGAACCCAGAACAAGUCCGACACAAAAGGACAAGUACCGUGUGCUUUCACUCUUAGGACAUAACUAGAAAUAGCAAAUUCAUGGAGACAGAAAGUAAAUUAGAAGUAACUGUGGUCUGGGAGAAGGGAUGAGGGAGACUUGUUGCUUGGUGGGUACAGAAGCUUUGUGAAUUUUAGAAAUUUUGAAUAAAAAAAUUUUUUUACCACUGUGAACAAAGGAAAAUGAUAAGCAACCGAUUACCAAUUCAGAGAAAGUGUUUCCAAUACAUGUAAUAAAGGAUUACUAUCUGUAUUAGCCAGCCAAAGGGGUGCUGAAGCAAAAUACCAGAAAUUUGUUGGUUUUAUAAAGGGUAUUUAUUUGGGGUAGGAGCUUACAGAUGCCAGGCCAUAGAGCAUAAGUUACUUUCCUCACUAAAGUCUAUGUGGAGCAAGACGGCUGCCGACAGCUGCGAGGGCUCAGGCUUCCUGGGCUCCCACAUUCCAGGGUCUUGCUUUACUCCGGGUUCAAGGUUCCUUCCUUCCAGGGUCUUGCUUCUCUUUCCUCUGUGAGCUGACUUCCUGGGGCUUCAGCUUAAGGCUUCAGCAUCAAACUCCAACAUCAAAACUCCAACAUCAAAAACUCCCAGCUCUGUCCUUUGUCAUGCCUUUUAUCUGUGAUAAAAGGGGUGGGGACUCAGCACCCUAAUGACGUGGCCCAAUCAAAGCCCUAAUCACAACUCAAUCAUGCCCAGUAAUAGACCAGAUGACAAACAUAAUCCAAUGUCUAUUUUUGGAUGUCAUAACUAUAUCAAACUGCUACACUAUCU
ensembl:lincRNA